CUUCACCGAGCCGAGCCAGAGCGGCCGGUCCUCGGGGCGGCCCCGCCCGUAGGUGGCCAGCAGCGCCUGCGCCUC
rfam:Streptomyces rubellomurinus strain ATCC 31215 contig-172, whole genome shotgun sequence.